rnacentral:rRNA from 1 species
AGUGAACGCUGGCGGCGUGCUUAACACAUGCAAGUCGAACGAGAACGGGAUAUAGCUUGCUAUAUUUGUCAGCUAAGUGGCGCACGGGUGAGUAAUGUAUAGAUAACCUGCCCUCUAGAAAGGAAUAACAGUUGGAAACGACUGCUAAUGCCCUAUAUGCCUUUAAUACAUAAGUAUGCAAGGGAAACGCUUUAGUGCUAGAGGAUGGGUCUGUAUGGUAUCAGCUUGUUGGUGAGGUAAUGGCUCACCAAGGCUAUGACGCCUAACUGGUUUGAGAGGAUGAUCAGUCACACUGGAACUGGGACACGGUCCAGACUCCUACGGGAGGCAGCAGUGGGGAAUAUUGCACAAUGGACGAAAGUCUGAUGCAGCAACGCCGCGUGGAGGAUGACACAUUUUGGUGCGUAAACUCCUUUUAUAUAGGAAGAUAAUGACGGUACUAUAUGAAUAAGCACCGGCUAACUCCGCGCCAGCAGCCGCCAGUAA